AAUUUGGAUGGUAUUGAAAUUUUUUGGAUUUGAAAUAUCGAGAAUCUACACAUGUAUUAUCAGAAAGUCCUCGUAACAAAUUAUAUUAUGCAAAUACUUUGUAUUCUGUUAUAUUAUUUCAAUCGGUUGUCAGCAAUAAAUAUCGACUAAUAAAAAAUCAACUAUUUUAUAAUUGAUCGAAUAAUAUGACCGACUGACAUCCGAUCAUAAAAAUAUUAUCGGCUAACAUCUGACAAAAUAAUGAUCGGCUUGCACCCGAUCGAUAAAAGGCCCAAUGUAGCCAAUAAAGGCCACAAAGAAAAAAGUACGACUCGAAGUAUUUUGACAUCCAACUUUGUUAUACUGACAAGUUUACUUGAUCAAGUUUCAACUGCCUACCGAUGAAUGGGCUAAUCCUCCGGAGACCCCACAUGAUCGUAUGGCAGGCUAAAAACAACGACAAUAAUGGGGCUAACCCUCUAAGGACCUCAUAUGGCCACU
rnacentral:lncRNA from 1 species